rnacentral:lncRNA from 1 species
AAAUACAAACAAGAGGCUGUCACAACGACAGCAAACCGGAUUUAUUAACAUUUAUUUGUGUCCUGGCAAUAUCACAAGAACCAUUACUGAUGAAUGGUGAAAGUGAAAAUCGUCAAUAUCAAAUUUGACCUCCAUUUUGUCAUCAGUAUCAACAUAUUAAAAUUUGAAAAGCUUAGAUUGAAUGGUUCAUGAGUAAAUGCAACAACCUGAAUGGAAACGCCAUUUUAUGAUCUUUCAAGAACCAUAACUCCAGAACGGUAAAAGUCAAAAUCGUCAUUAUUGAACUUGACCUCUAUUUUGUCAUCAGUAACAACAUAUUAAAAUUUCAAAAGCUUUGGUUGAAUGGUUCAUGAGAAAAUGCACGGACACGAUGAGAAAAUGCACGGACACGACGGGAAAAACCAUUUUUCAAUCUUUCAAGAACCAUAACUCCUGAACGGUAAAAGUCAAAAUCGUCAUUAUUGAACUUGACCUCUAUUUUGUCAUCAGUAACAACAUAUUAAAAUUUCAAAAGCUUUGGUUGAAUGGUUCAUGAGAAAAUGCACUGACACGACGGGAAAAACCAUUUUUCAAUCUUUCAAGAACCAUAACUCCUGAACGGUAAAAGUCAAAAUCGUCAUUAUUGAAC